rnacentral:rRNA from 1 species
AAUGAACGCUGGCGGUAGGCCUAACACAUGCAAGUCGAACGGUAGCACAGUAAGAGCUUGCUCUUACGGGUGGCGAGUGGCGGACGGGUGAGGAAUACAUCGGAAUCUACUUUUUCGUGGGGGAUAACGUAGGGAAACUUACGCUACUACCGCAUAUGACCUACGGGUGGAAGCAGGGGUUCUUCGGACCUUGCGCGAUUGAAUGAGCCGAUGUCGGAUUAGCUAGUUGGCGGGGUAAAGGCCCACCAAGGCGACGAACCGUAGCUGGUCUGAGAGGAUGAUCAGCCACACUGGAACUGAGACACGGUCCAGACUCCUACGGGAGGCAGCAGUGGGGAAUAUUGGACAAUGGGCGCAAGCCUGAUCCAGCCAUACCGCGUGGGUGAAGAAGGCCUUCGGGUUGUAAAGCCCUUUUGUUGGGAAAGAAAAGCAGCAGGUUAAUACCCCGCUGUUCUGACGGUACCCAAAGAAUAAGCACCGGCUAACUUCGUG